CUCUAAGAAGAGAUUUGGAAUUCUGAACAUGUAUUUCCUAUGUAUAUGCUGGACAUUUAAGUUGUAAGUUGGAUCUACAAUGGCAUCCGUUUGCUUCUCAGCAGUAAUUCAGGUGAGAGCCUAUGAAGGAUGUAUCUCUUAAACUCAGUUCAGCCGCAAACCAACAUACUUUUCAUAAGAUAAUUUUACAUGAGCUGAACCUGUUUUCAUUGCCUUUUUGAUCUACUGAUCUUUGAUCUUUGCCCAGCACAGUUUUCAUGUUGAGUUACUGAAGUCUGGGUUUAGUAUUCAAGAACACAAAAUGAAAGCCUCUCAGUUUUGGAACCCCUUUUCUGUUCUGUCUGCUUCCUCAGUAAAAUCAUUAUUCAGUCCCCACAUUCUAUGUUCCUCAAAAACCCACUUCAGAAUCAGUGAAAGAAUGUUUUAAAAGCUGUUUUCUUCCAUGUUCCAAUAUCUUGCAUUAUUACUUCAGGGAAAAUUCUUGGGCUGGAACACCAAAAACUAUAGGGAAAAACAUCUUUGUUUUAGGAUUUUCAUUUCUUGUGUCAAGGCCUUGGCCAUCAAGUGAAGGUGAAAGAAGUGUCUAAUUAAAGCAGCUGAGAAAGGGAAUGAGGAAUCAUAACAGCAUAGCCCCACGAAAUGAUGAUGAAGCCACUCUAGAGUCUGAAGCAACUCUUUAAAGACAAAUGAACUCCCAAAAGUAAAAGAUGCAAUUUGAAGUCAACAAAACAAACAAAUAAAAUUAUUCAUGAUGUAAUGAAUAUUCAUGAGAAACCCCAGUCCAGGCAUGGAAAACCUUCUGGAGAGGAGAGUCCAGGAGAUCUACUGUUAUUGCUCUGGAUAGCUUCCAAAAAAUGAUGCAAUACCCUUUUGCUGAAGACACCACACAUUUAUGGACACAGGAUCUGGAAGAAUUGAUCUGGACCUGACUUGGAAGCUUCCUCACUGACAACUAGCUCUCAUCGUCUUGGAUGGUAACAUGAAAUAUGCUAAUGGAGUAAAACAAGCAAUAGUCCUAUGCUGUUGUAAUGCCACAACAAUGGAUGUAAGGCAAACUAUUCUGACAGGUGCAGUAGUGACAUUUAUACCCUUGGUAGAGCAACAGACACCUAAUUGGGCUUAAGACAAGGAGGGAUUCAUUAAUGGCACUAUCAAUUUUGUUAACUACCUGUG